GCCUACCUGAAGCUCUGGACAGAGUGAGGUCCAGGUGUAGGAACUGGCCCGUGGGGAGGGAAGACUAAGUCGGCCUCUGGCAGGAAGUCCAGGCCCAGGAAGUUGUAGGGUGGGGUCUUGGUAUUCUCCCAGUAUGGGCGGGACUGGAGGAAGCCACCAACCAACGAAGUACUGGGCCUGUGGGUAUUCGUCUCUCUCCCCGCCCCUGAGAGUCUGGGAAAGGCUGACACGUGGUGCCUUCAGGCUCUGGGGCCUAGGACCUUUGUGGUAGCAGAGUCACUGCAGAGAACCAGACAAUACCAGGUUGCUUAUAAAAGGAUGCCAUGUGCUUGCUGGAGGUCCCAGGUGCAACCAAAUUGCUUGCAGCUAGGAGGACCUUGAAGAGAAAUGGGAUCAGCCCGCCAAACCAAGAAGGGUUAGCACUUUUGCUAGGAGAGCUGACCACGCACAAACAGAUGAGAACCAAAACCGAGUGAAGAGGAUUGAAGAUGAACCCACAUUUUAAAAGUUCUUGUCUGCUGGAGGUGGCAUUACCUGUGACCUCGCUUCACUUCUCCAUACAUGGCUGUUAUAGCAGAAAAUCCAGCUUUCUGAAGCAUAUUUCACGACAUAUGAUGAGACUUAUGUGAUGUGAGACCUGAGAAAACUAUGAUAGAAAGAAGCAACUCAAGUUGCAAGGAUAUUCCUCAUGUAUCAUGCAAGGAUAUUCCUCAUAUAUCAUAGACUAAGGUGUCAGUAUGUUCUUCAAGCUGCUCUGCUCCUGGGCCCAAGCUAUUCUCCUGCCUCAGCCUUCCAAGAAGCUGAAACUACAAGAACACAAGACUGUACCUGGCUUGCAAACACCAUUGCUAAUAAGAAGAUAUUGUAAGACUGAUACCUAAGAGAUAAGAGACAUGGAUCCCUGAGGUCGGUCCCCAAUACGACAAGACAAUUUGAUAUCAUAAUAGAACACUGCAGAAACAAUGCUGAGUGAAGAAGAGUAGAAAUGGGAAGACUUGGUUGAGCGGAAACUGAGUUCUUGAAAAGAGGAGAUGCUUGAUGAGGGCAUGGAUCCCUGAGGUCUGCCCCAGUACUAUAAGACAAUUUGAUGUAAGAAAACACAGCAGAUAUAAUACUGAGUGAAGAAGAGUAUAAAUGAGAAGAUUGGUUGUGCAGAUACUGAGUUCAUGAAAAGAGGAGAUGAUUGAUGAGGCCAGGUGCGGUGACUCAUGCCUGUAAUCCCUGCACUUUGGGAGGCUGCGGCGGGCGGAUCACCUGAGGUCAGGAGUUCGAGACCAGCCUGGGAGACAGAGCAUGGAAACCUAAGGUCUGUACCCAAAACUACAGGACUAUUUGACAUCAUAAUAAAACACUGCAGAUAUGAUGCUGAGUAAGAGUAGAAAUGGGAAGACUUGGUUGUGCAGUAACUGAGUUCUUGAAAAGAGGAGAUGCUUGAUGAGGGCAUGGAUCACUAAGGUCUGUUCCCAAUACAAGAAGACUCUUUGACAUCAUAAUAAAAUACUGCAGAUACGAUGCUGAGUGAAAAAGAGUAGAAAUGGGAAGACUUGGUUGUGCAGAAACUGAGUUCUUAAAGAGAGGAGAUACUUUAUGAGGGUUGCAGGGCUUUGACUCCUGGGUACAUGUAUCUCAUCUGAAAGGGAAUCCUGACGCCUACUGAAUCUUAAUAGUCAAUAUUGAUAUCUGGCAUCAAAUUCAAGUUGACCAAAGUUCCAUCUUCAGACCUGGGAGAAGAUGACAGUCAAAAUGAACUGCUUUCAUGUGACACUGGACCAGGCCUAUAUACAAAGGCAUAAGUAAUCAUUGAAUAAUGUUUCAUCUAUCUAUCUUAAUAUAAUUUGUUCUAUGCCUUACUAGAUAAAUGUUUAGUUACCUGUGAGUUUUCUUUUCCUGCCAUUGUCAGAGCUAGGCAGGGCUUAAGUCCCUUUCGUUUAAACAUUACUAACUCUAUACAUAGCUUGCAAAAUUGGAUAAAACAACAAAGGUUACUUUUUCACUCUCUCUCUGCUUAAUAUCUCUGAAAUUUAAAACUAUUCAGAAUCCCACUGGGCCCGAUCUAUUUUCAAUGCUAAUGCUCCACUGCUAAAACUAUAUAAGCAUCUUCCCUCUAGGCUCAGGCACUAUCUUGGAAGAGGUAAAUGUGUAAGAUUGUAAAGGUUGAUUUUUGAGCAACAAAAUUAAUUUAGAUCUUCCAAAUAAAAAAUGGGCACACAGAUGCCCAAACAGUUGGCAAAAUAAGAUACUUUACCUCCUGGACCAGUAUGUGGACCUUUUUCAUCCAUCCCAACCAUAAUUUCCUCUUUCCUGUAGAAUUAAAAGAAAAUUGCAAAGAGGAUAUGAACUUUUCUGGUAAGAAAACCUCCUGGGUAUAGUGCUCCCAGUUAUGAGAUUUAUGCAGAUUGUUAUAUAAAGUUUUUUUAAAUCAAGCACCUUAGGACAAACUAUUAAAAAGACUGCUAAAAGCGUUGUGACACAACAAAAGUCUCUAAAUUCUGUAGCUUAAAAAGUUUUAACAAAGUACUUAUCUUUUGCAAGCUAAUUGCUACAAGUCUAUAACUAAAACAUGUAUUGACUGAUGUCUUAGGUCUCCCUAAAAUAUAUAAAACCAAGUUGUAAACCAAUCACCUUGGACACAUGUUCUCAGGACCUCUGGAGACUGUGCCUUGGGCCAUGGUCACUCAUAUUUGGCUGAGAAUAAAAUUUUAAAAAUAUUUUACAGAGUUGGGUUUUUCUUGUUGGCUUUUUCAUAAAAUGUAAAAUGUUUGAGAAAGACACUUCUCAAGUGGCCAAGUGAGGAUAUUCUAGCUUAAUGCGUAGAAUUUAUAGCUAAGUCAAUUUUGUAACCUUGCCUUUUGACUUUUGGUUCUUGAUGCUUACAUUACAAAAUUUUAAGGUUUGAUAAAUGCCUGCUCCACUUCCAUUCCCAUCUGGCCUAGGAUAUUUAAAUUGGCUAUAAGUCUUUUGGCUCUACAUCUGUUGGCCGUGAGUCCCCACCAAGGGAUAGGAUAGACCCAGGGCACAUAGCCACACCACCCCAGCAAUGGUAUGCAACAAAAUGAUAGUUUGGCCAUUGAUGUUGCCUCUGGGAAAUUUUUUUUUUUUUUUUGACGAAGUCUUGCUCUGUUGCCCAAGCUGGAGUGCAGUGGUGUGUUCUAGGCUGACUGCAACCUUUGCUUCCUGGGUUCAAGUGAUUCUCUUGCUUCAGCCUCCCAAAUGGCUGGUAUUACAGACGUGCACCACCACACCUGGCUAAUUUUUUUUUUUUUUUUUUGAGACAGAGUCUCACUCUGUCAUUCAGGCUGGAGUGCAGUGGCACAAUCUCGGUUCACUGCAACCUCCAUUUCCCGGGUUCAAGUGAUUCUCCUGCCUCAGCCUCCUGAGUAGCUGGGAUUAUAGGCAUGCACCACCAGGCCCAGCUAAUUUUUGUAUUUUUUUGUAGAGAUGGGGUUUCGCCAUGUUAGUCAGGCUAGUCUCGAACUCCUGACCUCGUGAUCCACCUGCCUCGGCCUCCCAAAGUGAUGGGAUUAUAGGCGUGAGCCACUGUGCCUGGCCUAAUUUUAGUAUUUUUAGUAGAGAUGGGGUUUCGCAAUGUUGGCCAGGCUAGUCUCGAACUCCUGACUUCAGGUGAUCUGCCUGCCUUGGCCUCCCAAAGUGCUGGGAUUACAGGUGUGAGCCACCACGCUUGGCCUCCUCUGCUCAAUCCUGACCAGAAAAAUCAAAUUCUAACUCCCCCAAUCAACUGAAUUCCCCUCCAUUCAUCUGCCAAGGGGAUUCUAAAGAAUCCUGAAAACUAGUUCAGGCCAUGACAAUUGACAUUAAAACAGAUCUUAAAACUGACAAAACAGAUUCUUUGUAGCAAUAAGAUACCAAAUUUCAACCUGACUCAGGUAUAACUUCACAUGAUAAAAAAGGAAAUAAAAAUAUUUUACCCCCAAAAUAGAUUUCUUUGACAUAUUUUGAAAUGGCCCUGCAAGGCAGUUGGGGAAAUUUUGCAUCUGUAAAGCAUCUCCUUAACAUAACUAGAUCUUUCCCCUUCCAGGCCCUCCUAAACCUGAAGAGAUUAACUGAGAUUCUAGCACCUUUUAAAGUCUACAUAGGAAACAUUCACCAUUUAUUAUCUCUAAGGGCAGCCACUUAUGAGACUUCAUCUAUGUAAUAAAAACCUUGGUCUCCACAACCCCUUAUGUUAACCCAGACACUCCUUUCUAUUGAUUCCAGGUCUUUAGAAAAUAACUUAACUCCUCCAAGCAAUUGCCAAACAGAAAACCUUGGCAUCUUCCUAUGACCUGUAAGCACCCACUUUCCCCUGCUUUAAGUUGUCCUACCCUUCUGCACCAAACCAAUGUAUACCUCACAUGUAUUGAUUGAUGUCUUCUGUCUCUCUAAAACAUAGAAAAGAAAGCUGUAACCCAACCACCUUGGUCAGGACGUCUUGAGACUGUGCCUUGCGCCAUGGUCAGUCGUAUUUUGUGCAGAAUAAACAUUUUUCAAUAUUUUACAGAGUUUGGCUUUUUUGUUGACUUUUUUCAUAAAACAUGAAAGAUUAUGUUUGAGAAAGGCGUUUCUCAAGUGACCAUGUGAAGAUGUUGGGAAAUCCUCUCGCCAAAGAACAACUAUGAAAUGGACAAAACCAACCAUUUCUGUGCUCUGGAAAUUAAAUGUGCACAACAAUGUUAAACUUUGGGCAAGAAAGUUUGAACUCUGAUACGGUUUUGAUUUGUGUCACUGCUGAAAUCUCUUGUGCAAUUGUGACCCUCAGUGUUGGAGGAGGGGCCUGGUGGGAAGUGAUUGGAUCAUGGGGGUGGAUUUCCCCCUUGCUGUUCUCAUGUAGUGAGUGAGUUCUCGUGAGAUCUGGUUGUUUAAAAGUGUGUAGCAUCUCCCCCUGCUCUCUUCCUCCUUCUCUGGCCAUGUAAAACCUGCCUGCUUCCCCUUUGCCUUCUACCAUGAUUGUAAGUUUCCUGAGGCCUCCACAGCCAUGCUUCCUGUACAGACUGUGGAAGUGUAAGUCAAUUAAACGUCUUUAGUCUUUAAACCUAUAAAUAUCUUUGUAACAACUUCCUUAGCUACAAUCUAUAAGUUAUUUAUAGAUUACACAGUCUCAGGUAGUUCUUAAUAGCAAUGCAAAAAUGCACUAAUACAAACCCUGUUUUGGUCUGGCCUGUGGCUGCUUCCGUAUUUCUCUUUCCUAGGUCCAUCUAUAGGGACAUUCUGCCAAGGUGAAAUAAAGACUGAUAAAAUUCCUUACUAGCAAACUUGUAUUACAAGAAAUAACUAAAAACAGUCCUUCAGUCUAAAAGGAAAUGACUCUAUAUGGUGACUUGAAUCCACAAGAAUAAAUGAAGGGCACAGGAAAUGGUAAAUAGCUGGGUUAAUAUAAAAAAGACUCUAUGUAUUGUUUUUUCAUUUUUUCUAUAUUAUCUAAAUGACCUAAGAUUAUGUGAAGUAAUAAUUAUUACAUUGUACUGUUGGUUUUAAAAUAUAUAACUGUAAUUUAUAUGAUAACAGACCAAUGUUGGAGGGGUUUGGAAAUAAAUAUGAGCAAAGUUUCUAUGUUUUACUUGAAGUAAGUUAGUAUUAAGCUGAUGUAUAUUCUGAUAGGUUAAAAUGUAUAUUGUAACCCUUAGAACAACUAUUAAAAUAAAUCAAAAGC
rnacentral:lncRNA from 1 species